CCUACGGGAGGCUGCAGUGGGGAAUAUUGGGCAAUGGGCGCAAGCCUGACCCAGCAAUGCCGCGUGAAGGAAGAAGGCUUUCGGGUUGUAAACUUCUUUGACAGGGGAAGAGCAGAAGACGGUACCCUGCAAACAAGCCACGGCUAACUACGUGCCAGCAGCCGCGGUAAUACGUAGGGGGCAAGCGUUGUCCGGAUUUAGUGGGUGUAAAGGGCGUGUAGCCGGGAAGGCAAGUCAGAUGUGAAAUCUGGAGGCUCAACCUGCGAAUUGCAUUUGAAACUGGUUUUCUUGAGUACUGUAGAGGCAGACGGAAUUCCUGGUGUAGCGGUGAAAUGCGUAGAGAUAAGGAGGAACACCAGUGGCGAAGGCGGUCUGCUGGACAGCAACUGACGGUGAGGCGCGAAAGCGUGGGGAGCAAACAGGAUUAGAUACCCUUGUAGUC
rnacentral:rRNA from 1 species